rnacentral:tRNA from 1 species
GGGCCACUAGCUCAAUGGCAGAGCAACGGACUCUUAAUCCGCAGGUUGUAGGUUCGACUCCUACGUGGCCCACCA